UACGGAGGGUGCGAGCGUUGUCCGGAAUCACUGGGCGUAAAGGGCGCGUAGGUGGCCGAGCAAGGUUGCGGUGAAAGCCCGGGGCUCAACCCCGGGUCGGCCGUGGCAACUACUCGGCUUGAGCACUGUAGGGGCGGGAGGAAUUCCGGGUGUAGCGGUGGAAUGCGUAGAGAUCCGGAAGAACACCGGUGGCGAAGGCGGAUCUCUGGGCCUUACCUGACGCUGAGGCGCGAAAGCUAGGGGAGCAAACAGG
rnacentral:rRNA from 1 species